rnacentral:rRNA from 1 species
CCUACGGGAUGCAGCAGUGAGGAAUAUUGGUCAAUGGACGAGAGUCUGAACCAGCCAAGUAGCGUGAAGGAUGACUGCCCUAUGGGUUGUAAACUUCUUUUAUAUUGGACUAAAAUGUUCCACGUGUGGGAUUUUGUAUGUACCAUAUGAAUAAGGAUCGGCUAACUCCGUUCCAGCAGCCGCGGUAAUACGGAAGAUCCGAGCGUUAUCCGGAUUUAUUGGGUUUAAAGGGAGCGUAGGUGGAUUGUUAAGUCAGUUGUGAAAGUUUGCGUCUCAACCGUAAAAUUGCAGUUGAAACUGGCAGUCUUGAGUACAGUAGAGGUGGGCGGAAUUCGUGGUGUAGCGGUGAAAUGCUUAGAUAUCACGAAGAACUCCGAUUGCGAAGGCAGUUCACUGGACUGCAACUGACACUGAGGCUCGAAAGUGUGGGUAUCAAACAGGAUUAGAUACCCUAGUAGUC